CGGCACGUAGCUUAAUGGUAGAGCGUAGUCUUGAUAAGACUAAAGUUAUUGGUUCAAGUCCGGUCUUGCCGA
rnacentral:tRNA from 1 species